AGCCUCUGGGGCCUCGGCUGUGUGGGAAGCCACCCCCAAAGGCGACCUGCGGCCUGAUGCCACUCACAGAGCACAGCGGAAAUGACAGAAUCUCAGACGUGGAGGGCGGCGCCGCCGGCAGGGACAGGGUGGCCCACGGCCCUUCAAGGCUGUCUGAACGCAUCCCCACCCUGGCACCUGCAGCUGAGGGGCUCCUCACAGCGGACCUCAGCCCCUGGACGUGGCUGCCUCACUCUAAGAUUUGGAAGUUCCUGAACACAGCAAGCCUUGUGGGUGA
rnacentral:lncRNA from 1 species